CAUAUAUAGAUAUGAGGUGGCAUCACUAGGAUAUCAUUGUAUUAGAUGUAAUGACUUCAGGUUGACCCGUGGUCCAUAAAUAAUGUUUACGUUUGAAGUAUCUCUUUGAAUUAGAUUAUUUUUACCAAAGAAGUAUAUGCAGCAACUUUCUAUUCUAUAUCAAGGAAUAUAAAGGCCAUUGUACGUAGGAAAAAAGAGAACCAUAUUCUACGCAAGAAAUACGAAGGACAAUGUUGAGGUUCUACCCACAUCGGCUUUCUCCGGGUGAUAACAAAUUGGAGAUUUCUUCUAAGUGAAGUAAGGUGGAAGAAGAUUAGUUCUUGGCAUAUAAGAUAUAGAUCGUGGAGCAAAUACGAGUUGAGUUCUUGAGCCGUUGAGCUAAGACCAGAUUGUUUUGCAGGUAAAAGUAUUCAGCUAGGAUGAUUGGCUAUCAGCUGGGAUUGGCAAACUCUAUUUUCUUCCUGGAGCAGUGUCGAGUCAUUAUGGUUAUCAUAUGUGUGUAUGGGCAUGUCGGGGCCCUGUCCCGACUCAUAUGAUUCAGGUGUUUACUCUUAGAGACUUUGCUGACAAUGUCCUGUGGUUAGUAUGUUGAGAUUUUGAUUUUUGAUUAUGGAAAGUACUUUAUUA